GAUGAACGCUGGCGGCGUGCCUAAUACAUGCAAGUCGAGCGAACAGAUGAGGAGCUUGCUCCUCUGACGUUAGCGGCGGACGGGUGAGUAACACGUGGAUAACCUACCUAUAAGACUGGGAUAACUUCGGGAAACCGGAGCUAAUACCGGAUAAUAUAUUAAACCGCAUGGUUCAAUAGUGAAAGACGGUUUUGCUGUCACUUAUAGAUGGAUCCGCGCCGCAUUAGCUAGUUGGUAAGGUAACGGCUUACCAAGGCAACGAUGCGUAGCCGACCUGAGAGGGUGAUCGGCCACACUGGAACUGAGACACGGUCCAGACUCCUACGGGAGGCAGCAGUAGGGAAUCUUCCGCAAAGGGCGAAAGCCUGACGGAGCAACGCCGCGUGAGUGAUGAAGGUCUUCGGAUCGUAAAACUCUGUUAUUAGGGAAGAACAAAUGUGUAAGUAACUAUGCACGUCUUGACGGUACCUAAUCAGAAAGCCACGGCUAACUACGUG
rnacentral:rRNA from 1 species